AAGGCAUUUUGAUUGUUCACUCUCCCUCAAGGGCUUCCGGCAGUGCCAGACAUAUGCGUGAAUGGCGAGCUGGAGGUCCUCGGGGAGAGUGGACAAUAUUACUGUCU
rnacentral:pre_miRNA from 1 species